AUUCGGUUCACCCCGGUGACGAACAGGGAAGCAGGUGAAAAUCCCGCACUAUACCCGUAGCUGUAAGUUCUAUUUUAACGCUUGAAUCAGGAAUCCACUGUCUAGUGAUGGGAAGGAGAUUCAAGACGAGAACAAGUCAGAAGACCUGCCGAUUGCAAC
rnacentral:ncRNA from 1 species